UACGGAGGGUGCAAGCGUUGUUCGGAAUCACUGGGCGUAAAGCGCGUGUAGGCGGCCUUCUCAGUCUGGUGUGAAAGCCCGGGGCUCCCCCCCGGAAGUGCAUUGGAUACUGGAAGGCUGGAGUACCGGAGGGGAGAGUGGAACUCCUGGUGGAGCGGUGAAAUGCGUAGAUAUCAGGAGGAACGCCGGUGGCGAAAGCGACUCUCUAGUCCGCAACUGACGCUGAGGCGCGAAAGCCAGGGGAGCAAACGGG
rnacentral:rRNA from 1 species